rnacentral:rRNA from 1 species
UACGAAGGGGGACUAGCGUUGUUCGGAAUCACUGGGCGUAAAGCGCACGUAGGCGGAUAUGUCAGUCAGGGGUGAAAUCCCGGGGCUCAACCUCGGAACUGCCCUUGAUACAGCAUAUCUUGAGUCCGAUAGAGGUGGGUGGAAUUCCUAGUGUAGAGGUGAAAUUCGUAGAUAUUAGGAAGAACACCGGUGGCGAAGGCGGCCCACUGGAUCGGUACUGACGCUGAGGUGCGAAAGCGUGGGGAGCGAACAGG